AGUGAACGCUGGCGGCAGGCCUAACACAUGCAAGUCGAACGGCAGCACAGCGCUAGCAAUAGCGUGGGUGGCGAGUGGCGGACGGGUGAGGAAUACGAUCGGAAUCUACCUUGUCGUGGGGGAUAACGUAGGGAAACUUACGCUAAUACCGCAUACGAACUAUGGUUGAAAGCGGCGGACCGCAAGGCGUCGCGCGAUUGGAUGAGCCGAUGUCCGAUUAGCAGGUUGGCGGGGUAAAGGCCACCAAGGCGACGAUCGGUAGCUGGUCUGAGAGGAUGAUCAGCCACACUGGAACUGAGACACGGUCCAGACUCCUACGGGAGGCAGCAGUGGGGAAUAUUGGACAAUGGGGCAACCCUGAUCCAGCCAUGCCGCGUGUGUGAAGAAGGCCU
rnacentral:rRNA from 1 species